rnacentral:lncRNA from 1 species
GAUCCAACAGGCUACACAAUUCGGGCCUUUUUUGUUUUUUUUCUUUUCUCUUUUUUCUUUUUUCCUUUUCUUCCUUUUUCUAUUUUUUUCAUGUAGUUGGAUCUGCUGGGCACUGGGCCUGGAGCCUGCUGGCACUGUUGGGCCUGUUGUUCUGGGCUAUUGGACUGGCCUAUUUUUUUCUGCUUCUUUUUUCUAGACCCUAGUCUCACGCCACCACUCGCUUCCUUCAUUUAGUGGUGCGGUGGUCGGCGCGCCUCCCUUCUCCUCCUCGCUCUCUUUUUUCUUUUCUCUUUUCUUUUCUCCCUUCUUUUUCUUUUUGGUUGCUAUUUUUUUACUUGUUGUUUUUUAUUUUCUUUUUACUUCUUGCUUUUCUUGAUUGUGUUGUAGGUGCUAGCGGUGGAAGGAAAGCAAAGGCACGGCGGUGGGCACGGUGGUGGUAAAGAAACGACCGAAUUUUUUUAUGAGCUAUUUUUUUUUCUACUACUGCGUUUUUUUUUGUUUUGCUUUUCUUUUUUAAUUGAUUGUGGCUUUUAGGUGGUGGUGCAGCGAUUGCGGUGGUUGUAGCUGCGAUGGUGGCGAGUGUGGGAUUGGCUGAUUUGAGACUUUUUGCUGCUUAAAUUUUUUCUGCUUUUUUCCCCUUUUCUUGGCUACCCGAAUCCUCCUCCACUCCCUCUCAUUUUUUUCCUUUAAUCUCACGUAUUUUGUCUUUUUUUCUUUGUCUUCAAGUGACAGUGGAGCAAUCAUGGCCUAGGGAGGCUGCCGGAGUAGCUGGCGGUGGC